rnacentral:lncRNA from 1 species
GGGUGAGUCGGCCUCGCCAGUGCGCAUGCGCGAGGCCCGAGCCGCCGCUUUGGUCACAGUGACCGCCACCAUUGCCCGGGGAUGGGUCCUUGAGACUUGGCGAAGUAGGAGCCCUGUGUGAUCGUGCGUCAGAGUCGGGGCUGAGACCAGCCCUGGCCAGGGCAGUUACCAGGACGGUCUCCGGAGGCCGGGAUUCGCGGAGGGUCCACCAGCAGGAAGAAACCCCAGGAGGAAGAAAACUCAGACAGAUCGCCGGGGAGGCAGCGCGGGAUCCCAGCCUCAGGCGUGCGCGGACGGUGUGCGGAGUCUAGCUUUGUACCAGGCUGCAGUGCAGUAGUGCCAUCUCAGCUCACUGCAACCUCUGCCUCCCGGGUUCAAGCGAUUGUCCUGCCUCAGCCUCCCGAGUAGCUGGGAUUACAGCCACAUGCCACCACACCCAGCUAAUGUUUGUAUUUUUAGUAGAUACGGGGUUUCAUCAUGUUGCCCAGGAUGGUCUUAAUUUCCUGACCUCGUGAUCCGCCCAUCUCGGCCUCCCAAAAUGCUGGGAUUACAGGCAUGAGCCACCAGAACCGGACAUGCUUUCCUUAAAAGCUAAAUAUUUUAGGCUUGUGUGCCAUUAGGCUCUGUUACAACUACUUAAUUCUGCUUUUGUAAUUCUAUAGCACCCAUUGAUAAUACAUAAACAAAUGAGCAUGAAUGUGUCUCAGUAAAAAUUUGUUCACAUAAACAGGCAGUCC